UACGAGGGGGGCGAGCGUUGUUCGGAAUUAUUGGGCGUAAAGGGCGCGUAGGCGGUGCGGUAAGUCACCUGUGAAACCUCUAGGCUUAACCUAGAGCCUGCAGGCGAAACUGCCGUGCUGGAGUGUGGGAGAGGUGCGUGGAAUUCCCGGUGUAGCGGUGAAAUGCGUAGAGAUCAGGAGGAAUACCGGUGGCGAAAGCGACUCUCUGGACGGCAACUGACGCUGAGGCACGAAAGCGUGGGGAGCAAACAGG
rnacentral:rRNA from 1 species